GACGAACGCUGGCGGCGUGGAUUAGGCAUGCAAGUCGGACGGUAGGGCUUUAUCGUAAGAUAGAGUUUGAGAGUGGCGAACGGGUGAGUAACACGUAGGAAUCUACCCUUAAGACGGGGACAACACAGGGAAACUUGUGCUAAUACCGCAUAAGACCCCACCAUGGCAUCAUGGAGAGGUCAAAGGAGAAAUUCCGGUUUGAGAUGAGCCCGCGUCUGAUUAGCUAGUUGGUGAGGUAACGGCUCACCAAGGCGACGAUCAGUAGCCGAACUGAGAGGUUGAUCGGCCACAUUGGGACUGAGACACGGCCCAGACUCCUACGGGAGGCAGCAGUGGGGAAUAUUGCACAAUGGGGGAAACCCUGAUGCAGCGACGCCGCGUGAAGGAAGAAGGCCCUCGGGUUGUAAACUUCUUUGACCAGGGACGAAGAAAGUGACGGUACCUGGAGAACAAGCCACGGCUAACUACGUGCCAGCAGCCCGCGGUAAAGAGUAGUACA
rnacentral:rRNA from 1 species